GCUCCCUGCAGCAUUUUUAGAAGGUACCAAAUAAGAAAAACGUGGAUGAAGAUGGAGAAAGCAUACAAAACUUUUACACACUGGUUUGAAGGGCAAGCCGUUGUACAUUCCUUGAAGUCAGGUGCUCUGCUCAACAGAAGGUGUGCUGAAUAACGUUACAGGCUCUGUUCCCGGGAGACGUGGAAGGAAAAGUGAAAACACAAAACAACAGUAUUUAGAAGUGAAGCUGUCACCGCGCGGAACAUAAAGAACAGGCCAAGACCAGUGCAGGCAUCGACGACUUUCUCCAUUCAGAGCCUCCGCGCAUCCCAAAUAAAUAAACACAUCAAAACGUGCAA
rnacentral:lncRNA from 1 species